AUUGAACGCUGGCGGCAGGCCUAACGCAUGCAAGUCGAACGGUAACAGGAAGCAGCUUGCUGCUUUGCUGACGAGUGGCGGACGGGUGAGUAAUGUCUGGGAAACUGCCUGAUGGAGGGGGAUAACUACUGGAAACGGUAGCUAAUACCGCAUAACGUCGCAAGACCAAAGAGGGGGACCUUCGGGCCUCUUGCCAUCGGAUGUGCCCAGAUGGGAUUAGCUAGUAGGUGGGGUAACGGCUCACCUAGGCGACGAUCCCUAGCUGGUCUGAGAGGAUGACCAGCCACACUGGAACUGAGACACGGUCCAGACUCCUACGGGAGGCAGCAGUGGGGAAUAUUGCACAAUGGGCGCAAGCCUGAUGCAGCCAUGCCGCGUGUAUGAAGAAGGCCUUCGGGUUGUAAAGUACUUUCAGCGGGGAGGAAGGGAGUAAAGUUAAUACCUUUGCUCAUUGACGUUACCCGCAGAAGAAGCACCGGCUAACUCCGUG
rnacentral:rRNA from 1 species